rnacentral:lncRNA from 1 species
AUUGCCCGAAUUGGCCCGGGUUGUUAGUGCAUUGGGCUGACUCGAAAACCACCUCUAACAGGGCUCGAGCUUGAACCCCCCCUGUGAAGUCCGCCUUGCCUGGUCCAUGAGCCAAGUCCGCCCAACCAAACCGAAAUCAAAUUUUUUUUUGGCUAAUUCGGGCCAAGUAACCUAAAAUGCAAAGAAAUUUUGAGCUAAGACCGGCUAGUCCGUCUUGUCCCGGCCAAAAACAAAUCAAAAAUCCAUAAAUAAAUAAAAAGCUCCGUUCAUGGGGCCAGCUCACCUAAUUUGACUGGAACUUUUGUGAAUCAAAAGUUUACCUAAUUUUAGAGAAUGCAAUGCGUACACUCACCUAAUUUGACUGGACACAUCGAUUUCUUGAAAUACCUAACAAUUCUCAUAGUCCAGGCCGAUUCUAGCGAUUUCAAAACACUUUUUUUUUUUUUUCAACAUUCGUACUAUACUUCUAAGAAAUUUAAUAAUAAAAAUUAAAAUUUUACCAAUGUUGCUAGAGAUAGGAUAAUUUGUCAUGUUGAGUGCAUAUGACAUGAUUUUUGAAUUUCCUUAAAUAUUGGGCUCUUUCAAAUGUUGAUAUAGAAAUAAUAUUACGUUGUUCACAUUAGGAAACUAAAGAAAUCAGAAGUGCAAAAUUAAUAAAUCUUUCAUCUUAACAAAUCUAAGAUUUUUUACCGUGUUUUAUGUAUCUAUUUAUACAUAAGACACAAAUAUUUUUGACUUUUAAAUUUCUCCUACUUUUUACGGUUGAGAUCCUGUGUUGAAUUAUCUAAUACUUAAGAUUUUCACCGAAACUAUUUUUUUUUUAUUUUUAUAAAAAACCUAUCACUUCAUUUCUUGUCAAAGAUGUGGAGUCCACAUAAAUUAUAAUCUAAUGAUCAAUUUUAUUUAAAAUUGGACAUAUUUUUUUAUUUAUUAAAUUAUUUUUUAAUGAGGUCUACACCCAAAAAAACCAAAACAACAACAAAAGGGGUCCGUUUUAUUUUUUUUAUUUAUUUUUUUAAAACUAUCAAUAUACUUUUCCAAAAUUAUAUAUUUUUUAAUUUAUUUCUCAAUUUGUAGUAAUGUAUCUCUUAUCUGAAGAUUAUAUUUUAUCUAUUUUUUAAAUUAUAAAAUUCUAACGAUUACGUUUUUUAACGUAGUAUCUGUAAACAACUAUUUUAGGAAUUUCUUACCAAUAACAGUAUCCUUAAUUAAUAGUCUCAUAUGUAUAGAUUCAACUAUUUUGGAAUAAUGAUGCUAUUGUUUCUAUCUCGAAGGUAUUCGUGUCGUAUAAGAUUGACUUUUUGAACACUCGAUUUAAUGGCAAUUCAUCUAAUCAAUGAAUACGACAGGGUUGAUCUGGGGAUUGGAUGCUGGAUAUAUACAAUCAUGGUGAUGGGAGAGAGGUGCAUACACUGGAAUCUGCCGUCAAUCCGGCAUAAAGGAGAGAGAGAGAAGGGAAGAUGAAAAAAUCCAAGAAAAGAAAAUAGCGAGGGAAAGGUUUUGGUAUUGAUAGUAGAGGGAUGGAGGUACACAUGGAUAGUAGUUAUAGUAGUGGAGGGUGUAUGGUGGUAAUGUGGUGGUGGACUGAUGGGGAAGUAAAUGGUCGACGAGGUAGUAGUGGAAGUGGAGUGGCAAUAGCAGUAGUAGUGAUGGUGGGAGGGGAGGGAUGGUAGUGGUGUGGUGGAGGUCGAGAGGUGAUGGUGAUAUGGCAGCGAUAAUUGUAACAGUGGAAUAGUAAUGAAUGUGGAGAAUGGUGGUGACAACGAUAAUGGUGGAGAGAUGGUGGUACUCAUAGUAGUAGUGGCAGUAGCAGAGAAUGUGGUGUGAGGAUGGUAGUAGUGGUGGUGGAGGUGUGGUUACCAGUGAUCAUUAUUAUUACUUAUAAAUUCAAUAAGAAUAAAUUAAGUAGAAAUGUUGCUACUUAAAUUUUUUCUAACUUAUAUAGUAGGUUUUUAAGAGGCACUUAAUUUUUGAAGUGAUAUAAAAAAUAGUUAUCAAAUAAACUUAUUUUAUUUUUACUUAAUACAUUUAGCAUUACAUACUUAAUUGGGUUAUCAAACAACCCCUAAUAUUUUAUGGAUGUAGAGACCCCAUUUUAAUUGGCUAUAAUUUUUAGGUUCAUUGUUGGAUCAUUGGCUGAUGACGAAAAAAGUUUAACGAAUUAAUUAUGCAGACAAAUUGAACAUAUGAUUUGCCUAGAAAGUUCUGUCACUUUUUUUUCUAAGAUGAGUGGAUAGUGUGGUAUUUUAGGGAGAAUUAGCUCCAAAAGAUUUUCAAAAUAUUUUCCGCACAAAAUAUCUCUUUUGGUAUCAAUAAUUCAUAUUUGAAGUUAUUUGUGCUUAAAAGCGGAGAAAAAAUCCAAAACAUGUGAGAUGACUAGUUUGGCCCGAGUGUCCUGCGAAACAUUUUACUUUCAACUUUUUUCGUAAUUAAAAAUCCAUAAUUUUUAAAAAUGAUUUUCAUGCUUUUGUAGUAUUCUCAAAGUACUUUACAACCAUAU